rnacentral:rRNA from 1 species
UCGCGACCCCAGGUCA